UAUUUUCACUUCUGAGUCACAGUCAGUGACUCUGACUUUACUGCCUUAAACUCAUAGUCAAGGCUGAUGACUUAAUGCAGUACCGAAGGAAGGAUUUAGAGUAACAUGCAGUAUUUUCCUCUCUCCCUGUAACCUCCUUUGCCCUAAAACUCUGUGUGUGCUCCUCCAAUUCUAAUGCCUGCCCUGGAAUGCACAUUGCUCCUGGUCUUGAAGAUGAUAGACACAGCUGGAAUGAGAACAACAUCCACGAUGAGAACGACAUGAUGGGACAAAAACUGAAAUGCCGAAAUGCCACUCCAUUGGGCCGAAAGCGCUAAGAACGCCACUUAGAAUAAAUGCUAAGCCUUCAGAUCAUUGGGUUGGGGUAAGACCACCACUCAUGGAUAAAACGAUGUCAGAACAUAGAGCCAGAAGCACUUGCCAAAGAUGAAGAUUGAGCUGAACCACUGUCAAGAUCUCAAAUUGGGGUAAACUGCUCCAUAAGAGAUCACUCCGCAGGCCGAGACCAACAAGCUAGGAAAGACCGCCACUUUGGACUGCCGGAAGCAACUGCCGCUUAGAAGAAGCUCAUGGCUGAAGCUUUUAAAUGAAGGAAUGAUGAAUUUGAUGUUAUCUAUGCUAUCUAUACUAAUUGAAAAACAUUUAAAACAGAAAAAAGAAAAAAAAUUGUAAAGGGAAAUGGGCUGCACUGCUACUUAGUGCGUUUUAAUUGCAAAUGGAAAAUUUCUGUCCUUGUAUUUUGUUACUUUUUUUCAAAAUGCUAGACAGUCAGAUCUAUCAGCCAUAUUCCCAGCCUAACAAGAUCAAUAUAGUAUAAUCAAGAAAGCUGCCAACAAAGUAAAUGGGAUAUUGAAGGGCAGAAAGAUCAAAGUUUAGAAAAAAUGAUAUGAAGUAAAAUGAAUUACAUAUGAAAACAAAACAAAUUUCAUUAUAUAUUUUCUGUUAUUGGUAUUAAAGAUGUAUUACUUAAAUUUUAACCAGAUCCAGUUUUGUCGUUCUACUUAUUAGACUUUGACAUUUUAAAGCAUAAUCCAACCAUAUAAUGUCUUCAUUCUUGAAUCACAUUAAAACAGCUGAAGAUGGCACACAGUAUAGUGCAUGUCUCUGCAAGGCAGUUAAUGCUUUAAUAAUUACAAAACUCUUUCUUGAAGCUUUUCCUUAUCAUUCUGUAACUAUAGUCCUGAAACAAGAAAUCUUUUGUAUUAAGAACUUCUAUCUCACUGAGAGGCUUCAGGCUAAUCCUUAAUCAACAACCUGCUUUGAAAAUUCAGCUUUCAUUUUGAAGGCUGUGAAAUCCACCACAAAUCUGUCUGAGACAAUCCACAACAUUCUAAAACAAUCAAAAGCAUCCUUUAAAAAAAAUGUCAAUUUGCCCUAUCUCCCAAAGUUAGUGGGAGAAAACACAUUCAGGAUUUGGAUCUGGAUUUGCUUAUUUACCAAAACUAAACAGUUCUUUGUUGAGCUGUAUCCAAUCUGUGUACCAUGUUUCAUUGAAUUUGUUCAUCAGACUUUGAGCUAUAUUUACAGACUGAUAGAUUGGCAAGGGCAAAUACACUAUCUCUGCCCAACUUCAGCAACAGAGGUAAUGUCUGACAGAAAAAGAUGUAUUGAUCCAACUAACACUCUGCUAUGCUAUAAUGUCAGUCUUGUCUCAGUGGGUAAUGCUGUUCUUUCUUUGCCAGCACACUUGAAGUUCAAGUCUGAUUCCAGAGACUUAAACACAUAAUCCAUGCUGACACUUCAAUGCUGUGUGAAGGAAGUGCUACACUGCCUGAAGUGACAUGGUCCAGACGAAGCAUUAAGCUGAGGCCCUCUCAAGUGGAUGUGAAACCCAAGGCAUUUAUUUCAAAGAAAAAUGAAGAAUGGAGCUUACCUGGCUAAUGUUUAUAUCUUAAUUAAUAUCACAAAAAUCAAAUUAUAUGGUCAAUUAUGUCCUUGCUAUAUGUAGGAUCUUAAUAUGUAUAAUGUCUUUGCCAUGUUUCCAAUAGUACAAUAGUUGACUGUACUUCUGAAACUGCUUAACUGUUAGUGAAGUGUUUAGUAUGAGCUGAGAUUAAGGAAAAUGCUUUCUGAAUCAGCUCAUUUUGUUCUUUUGUGCACCAUUCAAAAUAAAUUGCAUUUAUUUUAUAUUAA